rnacentral:tRNA from 1 species
UCCCUGGUGGCUCAGAUGGUAGAGAGUCCACCUGCAAUGUAGGAGAUCCAGGUUCGAUCCCUGGGUUGGGAA